UACAGUUUCCACACUGCUGUU
rnacentral:misc_RNA from 1 species